GUGGGGAAUUUUGGACAAUGGGCGCAAGCCUGAUCCAGCAAUGCCGCGUGCAGGAAGAAGGCCUUCGGGUUGUAAACUGCUUUUGUACGGAACGAAACGGUCCGGGUUAAUACCCUGGGCUAAUGACGGUACCGUAAGAAUAAGCACCGGCUAACUACGUGCCAGCAGCCGCGGUAAUACGUAGGGUGCAAGCGUUAAUCGGAAUUACUGGGCGUAAAGCGUGCGCAGGCGGUUUUGUAAGACAGGCGUGAAAUCCCCGGGCUCAACCUGGGAAUUGCGCUUGUGACUGCAAGGCUGGAGUGCGGCAGAGGGGGAUGGAAUUCCGCGUGUAGCAGUGAAAUGCGUAGAUAUGCGGAGGAACACCGAUGGCGAAGGCAAUCCCCUGGGCCUGCACUGACGCUCAUGCACGAAAGCGUGGGGAGCAAACAGGAUUAGAAACCCUGGUAGUAC
rnacentral:rRNA from 1 species